ACUCAAAUGAAUUGACGGGGGCCCGCACAAGCGGCGGAGCAUGUUGCUUAAUUCGACGCAACGCGAAGAACCUUACCAAGGCUUGACAUCUGCCGGUAACACUCGGAGACGGGUGCCCCCUUUUGGGUCGGUGGACAGGUGGUGCAUGGCUGUCGUCAGCUCGUGUCGUGAGAUGUUGGGUUAAGUCCCGCAACGAGCGCAACCCUUGUUCCAUGUUGCCAGCACGCCCGCAAGGGUGGUGGGGACUCAUGGGAGACUGCCGGGGUCAACUCGGAGGAAGGUGGGGAUGACGUCAAGUCAUCAUGCCCCUUAUGUCUUGGGCUGCAAACAUGCUACAAUGGCCGGUACAAAGGGUUGCGAUGCCGUGAGGUGGAGCGAAUCCCGUAAAGCCGGUCUCAGUUCGGAUUGGGGUCUGCAACUCGACCCCAUGAAGUCGGAGUCGCUAGUAAUCGCAGAUCAGCAACGCUGCGGUGAAUACGUUCCCGGGCCUUGUACACACCGCCCGU
rnacentral:rRNA from 1 species